ACGAAGAGGAAGAAGGAGGAGAGUGUCUUCACCUGCCAUCAAGCCAUGGUGGAGGGGUGCUGCCUGGGAACCAGAGAGGCCUCUCAGGUGCAGCGGCAGCAGACACCGAGAGCUCCCGGCGUGCAGUUUGUGCCCGUGCCGCCCGCUUCCCCUGCCUCAGUUUCCUUCCUCCAAGAAAUGAUGCCUUGGUUGCAGCAACGGCAGCAGCUCCGUUCUUCCGAGACCUG
rnacentral:lncRNA from 1 species